AUGAAAACCAUCUUCUUCUUCCUCCUCCUCCUCCCCAUCAACACUUGCUCUGCUAACAACACCACCCAACUAGUCUAUGACACAGAAGGCAACGUGCUAAAUAGCAAGUCAAAUUACUACAUGCUCCCAGCAAAACCUGCGAGCGGUGGCGGCCUCAAAGCCGUCCCAACCGGUCUACGGUGCCUACAUUUUGUGGUCCAGGAGCGCAGCGAGACUCUCCUCGGCACACCCCUGCGAUUCACGCCAUUGCCAGAACACGCUUCAGCCACUGAGCCGAUCUGCCUGUCGAGUGACAUAUGGAUCGAGUUCCACGACUUGAGAAGCUUUUGCUCCGACGUGCUAGAUUGGCACCUUACCGAACAGGUGCCGGAGUCGUCAUCAGGAGAGCCUAAACACGUGGCCGCCGGUAGUGAAGAGGGCCUAAGAUCGUUUGGGGUGUUCCGGGUUGAGAGGCAUGGCACAGAUCUCUCCGGAUAUAAAAUAGUUUCAUGUGCUAGCAAGGGGCCAUGCAGAGACCUAGGUUUGCAUGUUUAUAAGGAUAAGACGUGGCUCACCGUGAGCAAUGAGCCUUUUAUGGUUGUCUUUAGGAAAAGAACUAUAUAG
rnacentral:rRNA from 1 species